rnacentral:rRNA from 1 species
CCUACGGGAGGCAGCAGUGGGGAAUUUUGGACAAUGGACGAAAGUCUGAUCCAGCCAUUCCGCGUGCAGGACGAAGGCCUUCGGGUUGUAAACUGCUUUUGUACGGAACGAAAAAGCCUUGGCUAAUACCCGGGGUCCAUGACGGUACCGUAAGAAUAAGCACCGGCUAACUACGUGCCAGCAGCCGCGGUAAUACGUAGGGUGCGAGCGUUAAUCGGAAUUACUGGGCGUAAAGCGUGCGCAGGCGGUUUUGUAAGACAGAGGUGAAAUCCCCGGGCUCAACCUGGGAACUGCCUUUGUGACUGCAAGGCUAGAGUGCGGCAGAGGGGGAUGGAAUUCCGCGUGUAGCAGUGAAAUGCGUAGAUAUGCGGAGGAACACCGAUGGCGAAGGCAAUCCCCUGGGCCUGCACUGACGCUCAUGCACGAAAGCGUGGGGAGCAAACAGGAUUAGAUACCCUGGUAGUCCACGCCCUAAACGAUGUCAACUGGUUGUUGGGUCUUUGCUGACUCAGUACGAAGCUAACGCGUGAGUUGACCGCCUGGGAGUACGGCGCGAAGGUUGAACUCAAAGGAAUUGAGGNUGNGNGNGCGAGGCGACGACGAGGAGAGG